GCGCAGCAGGCGAGAAACUUCCGCAAUGGACGAAAGUCUGACGGAGCGACGCCGCGUGAACGAUGAAGUGCUUCGGCAUGUAAAGUUCUUUUGCCAGGGAGAAAGUUUAUUGAUAGUACUUGGCGAAUAAGAGGUUGCUAAACUCGUGCCAGCAGCAGCGGUAAUACGAGUGCCUCAAGCGUUAUCCGGAAUCAUUGGGCGUAAAGGUUGUGUAGGUGGUCAUAUUAGUCUCUUGUUAAAUUCUUCGGCUUAACCGGGGGCAUGCAAGGGAAACGGUAUGACUUGAGGAUGCGAGGGGUCUGCGGAACUCAUAGUGUAGCGGUGAAAUGCGUUGAUAUUAUGGGGAACACCAAAAGACGAAGGCAGCAGACUGGAGCACUCCUGACACUGAAACAAGAAAGCGUGGGUCGCGAAAUGGGAUUAGAUACCCGCGUAGU
rnacentral:rRNA from 1 species